CUCAUCACCACGCCCGGCUAACUUUUUUGUAUUUUUAGUAGAGACGGAGUUUCCUCGUGUUAGCCGGGAUGGAUGUCCUGUCUUUCUAUUGUAUCCUCUCCCUCACUUGGGGAGGAGGCAGUGAUGUUCCUGUUUUGCAGAAGAGCCGGAUCGGGCAGCCAGAGAGUUGAAGUGACCUGCCCAAAAAGGGUUCAACCUAAAUCCUUGGGCUUCCUGUCCAGGGCUCUGUAGGAUGUCAGCCAUCCCCAGAAUCAGGCAUUCUCAGGAUGUCCUGUGAAGAAACACACUUCUCCAUCCCCUGCUGGAAAAACCAUGACAAUCUCUCCGCAGGGAAGAACGCGGCUUUGAGGUGGGGAGUGGCUGACCGAGGCCCUUUGUGGUUUCUAAAUGGCAGAAUGAGAGAGGUGGGGGCGUUGAGGGUGUCACGCCCAGGAAGCAGUUGGGGAGGGCAGGGCUGGACACUGACCAAGCCUAGCCUGGGUGCAGGAACUGAGCUUGGGAUUUUUGCUUGGGGCCCUCUAGGGAUUAGGAUGAAUUGUCAGAUGAGUUCUCAGCAGACAGGGCUUUAGGGAACUGGUCCAGGGAAAUAAGACGUAGAGCCAGAGGGGAACCAGGGCCUCUGUGAGAGCCUGGCAGUCAUGAGAUCUGACUUGCUGAGCUUCUGAGGUGUGGUAAUAGGAACUAAUCCUCUCUUCGGUGUGCUUUAGAUGUUUACUCGUUUCAUCCUCACAGAAACCCUGUGAACUUGGGUGCUACUGUUACUCCAUGUUGAAGGUAAAACAGAGGCACAGAGAGGUUAUGUGACUUGCCCAAGGUCACACAGCUGGUAAGGGGUGGAGCCUGUGAUUCAGACCCAGUCAGUCUGGCUGCAGAGCAUGAGCUCUGAAUCAAAUGUUCUCCUGCCUCCAUUCUUACCUUUUAGAAAGAUGACAGCAAGUUGCAUACGUGACCUCCUCACCCCCAGGAGUGUGUGUGUGCACAUGUGUAUAUAUAUGCACACAUACGCGCACCAGUAGCUCAGCAAGGGAGGGAGGCUCAGGAAUGGGCUCGUGGGCCUCUGUGUGUUGAUGGCUGGGUUUGCAGAACCUAGGGAGUCCGGCGUCUGUGUGCGUGAUGCUCCUCCCUUCGUCCCUCCCUGCUCGCGUGGUUCCCAGUGGGUGGGGUGCCCUGUUGCCUCUGGUUUAGAGCCGUGCAGGAUGUUACCACAGACCGUGUACCAGGAGUGUUCACCCAAACUUGUGAAGGGCCCUGGACUCCCAGGAAGGAGCUCAGAUCUAGGACUGGGAGUGGACGGCGGCCGCCGGAGGAGUGAGAGGGGGCAGUGCGCUUGCCAUGCCCGGGGCCCGUCCUCCUGGGCCUCUCUCGGCGCUUGGGCAACCUGUGUAUUGCCCACACGUGUGCCGCUGCUUGCAGCUCCUGGCCACCACCCUCCUCUUUGUGUCUGGACGAAUCUGACUGCUCUGAGCACCUCUUCAGAGUGGAAUCAUACAGGACAGUGUCUACCGCAACUCCCAGCACACAGCAAGUGCUCAGCACACCCGGAACACAGACUUCUUACCUCCUUUCCCAUUGUGGGCAAAAGAUGAGAGAGGAGAUCUGAGUGCAGACAUCGCGCUGGCUUGGCCAAGUGCUCUGUUAUCUUUAGCAAGAUGAAGAGCUUUGUCAGGUGGGUAACAAAAAAAAUUCUGACACAGGCCGGGCGCGGUGGCUCACGUCUGUAAUCUCAGCGCUUUGAGAAGUGUGUCAGCCCUUGAGAAGACACCGGGCAAGCUGGCCUUCCUCUCGGUGUCUCUCCCAGGCCGGGACUAUGGGGAGAAAUCAUAACAACAGGGACAACAGCAGUGACAACGUCAGUGACGACAAUAACAGCCACUAACGUUAUACCACGUGCCAGGCCCUGUUCUUAGAACUUCGCCUGGACUAACUCAUUCAACUGUCACAAAAGCUGCAUGGGAUGAUGUUGUUAUGUUAUUAUCUUCAUUUGACAAAUGAGGACACUAAAGCACAGAGAGAUGAAGCAACUUGCCCCAGGACACACAGCUAAAACUGGGAGUGGAAUUCGGAGAGCCUGGCUCCUGGCAUUUGGAGCUGACAGGUGCCCGGCAACCCCUACCUAUGGCCGAGCUGAGCUCGUCUUGUGCCAGGGAGUUGGCGGCAAAACAGAAAUGAGCUCUGGGCCGGGCACAGUGCCUCACGCCUGUAACCCCAGCACUUUGAGAGGCUAAGUGUACGCAUCAGUGGCCCGAGGCACGUUCACACUCUGGUGCGGCCAUCAGCACCGUCAUCUCCGGAACUCUCACCUGGCUAAACUGAGACUCCGCAUCUGUGAAACCAGCGCACCAGGGACCGGCUUCGUGGAAGACACUUUUUCCACGGACCGGGGAAGGGUGGGGAGCGCUUUCGGGAUGGAACUGCGAUCCCUCGCACGCGCAGAUCACGACAGGGCUCACGCUCCUACGAGAACCUAAUGCCGCUGCUGCUCGGAUGGGAAGUGGGGUUCAGGGGGUGACGCUUGCUCACCCACCACUCACCUCCGGCUGUGCAUCCUGGUUCCCAACAGGCCACGGACUGGUGCCGGUCCAUGCCCGGGGGGGCUGGGGACCCCUGUAUUGAACAACAGCUCCCCGUUUCUCCAGCCCCCAGCUCCUGGCCACCACCCUCCUACUUUCUGACUUGAUGAAUCUAACUGCUCUAAGCACCUCAUCCGAGUGGAAUCAUGUGGUAUUUGCCUUUCUGUGACCAGCUUCUUUCACGUAGCCUAAUGCCCCCAAGGUUCAUCGAUGUCAGAAUUGGCCUGUGUCGGAAUAUAAGCCGAAUAAUAUCCGUUUUAUGUAAA